CAAACACUAAGUUGACUGUGCCUUUAAACAGCUUGGAAAAAUCCAGAAAAUGAUGUAAUGGCUUUAGAAGCUUCUGAUAGGCUAAUUGACAUACUUUGAGUCAAUUGGAGGUGUACCUGUGGAUGCAUUUCAAGGCCUACCUUCAAAAUCAGUGCCUCUUUGCUUGACAUCAUGGGAAAAUCAAAAGAAAUCAGCCAAGACCUCAGAAAAUUGAAAACCUCCACAAGUCUGGUUCAUCCUUGGGAGCAAUUUCCUGAAGGUAUCACGUUCAUCUGUACAAACAAUAGUACGCAAGUAUAAAUACCAUGGGACCACGCAGCCUUCAUACCGCUCAGGAAGGAGACGCGUUCUGUCUCCUGGAGAUGAACGUACUUUUGUGCCAAAAAGUGCAAAUCAAUCCCAGAACAGCAGCAAAGGACCUUAUGUAGAUGCUGGAGGAAACAGGUACAAAAGCAUCUACAUCCACAGUAAAAUGGGUCCUACAGUAAAACUUCUGACCCACUGGGAAUGUGAUGAAAGAAAUAAAAGCUGAAAUAAAUAAUUCUCUCUAUUAUUCUGACAUUUCACAUUCUUAAAAUGAAGUGGUGAUCCUAACUGACAUAUGACAGGCAAUUUUUACUAGGAUUAAAUGUCAGGAAUUGUAAAAAAAAAAAAAAAGAGUUUAAAUGUAUUUGGCUAAGGUGUAUGUAAAUUUCCGACUUCAACUGUAGGACCUGGAUGACAGGAAGCUUGGCCCCAGUGAUGUACUGUGCCAUUCGCACUACCCUCUGUAGCACCUUACAGUCAGGAUGCUCUCGAUGGUGUAGCUGUAGAUCCCUUUGAGGAUCUGGGGGCCCAUGCCAAAUCUUUUCAGUCUCCUGAGGGGGAAAAGGUUUUGUCGUGCCCUCUUCACAACAGUCUUGCUAUGUUUGGACCAUGAUAGUUUGUUGGUAAUGUGGACACCAAGGAACUUGAAACUCUCAACCCGCUCCACUACAGCCCCGUUGAUGUUAAAUGGGGGCCUGUUCGGCCCACCUUUUCCUGUAGUCCAACAUCAGCUCCUUUGUCUUGCUCACAUUGAGGGAGAGGUUGUUGUCCUGGCACCACACUGCCAGUUCUCUGACCUCCUCCCUAUAGGCUGUCUCAUCGUUGUUGAUGAUCAGGUCCACCACUGGUGUGUCGUCAGCAAACUGAAUGAUUGUGUUGGAGUCGUGUUUGGCCACACAGUCGUGGGUGAACAGGGAAUACAGGAGGGGACUAAGUACACACCCAAUUCCCUUGGCACUUCUCGGUGGAUGCUGCAGUGUACCCAAGUGGCAUCGGGAGCAACUGCUUGCACGCGCGUUACCACUCCACUAUGUCUCCCUGUCAUGGCUUUUGUGCAAUUAAUACAGACACCAAAACAUCUUGACCACCCAAAUUAAUUUGAUGUCACAAAGCUGUCCAGUACUUUAAAAAUAUCCUCAUGUUGUCCUAGUUUUCAGUGGAUUGCAGAAGAGGAUGUCUUCCUUAAUUGACACCACAUAAAAGUAACGGACAUAUACCAGGAGCUGUGCCAGGCCCGCCACGUCUGUUGACUCAUCCAGCUGCAAUGCAUUGAAUUCACUGGCUUGUAAGCAA
ensembl:lncRNA